rnacentral:rRNA from 1 species
AGAGUUUGAUCCUGGCUCAGAACGAACGCUGGCGGCGCGCCUAACACAUGCAAGUCGAACGAGAGACUCUUCGGAGUAGUAAAGUGGCGAACGGGUGAGUAAUACAUGGGUAAUCUGCCUUUGAGCGGGGGAUAACCAGCCGAAAGGCUGGCUAAUACCCCAUACGCUUCCGGUCCCUCGGGUAAGGAAGGAAAGCCGCAUCGUGGAUGUGGCACUCGAAGAUGGGCUCAUGGCCUAUCAGCUUGUUGGUGGGGUAACGGCCUACCAAGGCAACGACGGGUAGCUGGUCUGAGAGGACGAUCAGCCACACUGGCACUGAGAUACGGGCCAGACUCCUACGGGAGGCAGCAGUGAGGAAUAUUGCGCAAUGGGCGAAGGCCUGACGCAGCGACGCCGCGUGGGGGAAGAAGGUUUUCGGAUUGUAAACCCCUUUUAGGAGGAAAGAUGGGGUGGUUUCCACCCGGACGGUACCUCCAGAAAAAGCCACGGCUAACUUCGUGCCAGCAGCCGCGGUAAUACGAAGGUGGCGAGCGUUGUUCGGAUUUACUGGGCGUAAAGAGCACGUAGGCGGUUUAGUAAGCCCCUUGGGAAAGCUAUGGGCUUAACCCAUAAAGGUCGAGGGGGACUGCUAAGCUAGAGGGCGGGAGAGAGCGCGGAAUUUCCGGUGUAGCGGUGAAUGCGUAGAUAUCGGGAAGAAGGCCGGUGCGAAGCGGCGCUCUGGAACGUCUCUGACGCUGANGUGCGAAAGCGUGGGGA